rnacentral:lncRNA from 1 species
UCUAGCCAACUAAGAUCUUAAUAAAUAAAUAAAUGACAAGAGUAAAAAUGAUUACCCAGGUUAAGUAUUUAAGUGUAGAACUUGUAAAUAUUAUGAUGUUGCUAGAUGAUAGUAUUCUGAUGCUACACUCGACCGGCCUAAAAGAAGAGUGUACUGACUGGUUCACCCGUCGAGCAAUGGAAAUCAUCAACAAUGGACAAGGGACAAACUACAAACUAAAUCAUUUUUCAAGAUAACUGAUCAUACUCAUUAAAGAAUUCGAUGUACAAAUAAGGAAUCUGUUUUGACAUGAAUUGGAUGACCUCUAGCCGUUAGGAGAAGAGUAAGGGUGUUCUUCAAACCUAUUAGCCUCGCGAUACUUCAAAAUUUCCCAGCUUGAAAAUGAUAAACGAGUUUCCAAAACAUGGGGAACAGUGAAGAAUGUAACAAAAAGGCAUCGCAUUAUGACUAAUAGUUCCAGUAAAAGAACGCCGCGCACGCAUAUUUAGCUGACAGUAAAUCAACCUCAAACCAGAUUCCAUCUUUCUCGCUAAUAUCCAUGUUGAACUAAUGCAUCCUGAAUGGGAAAACAAAUUUUUAUCUCGCCCCAAAUGCUGCUAUCUGUGUUUUGUAUACCUCUUCAACUACGUCAGUUAGGACAUACAAUCGUCCGAAUCCAGAAACUGUUAAUCUGUACGAAGUAAAUCCGUUCGUGGCUUAAACGUUCCCAGAACCAAAUACGGUACAAUGACCAUGUAAGCCAUGAAUAGAGUGAACUGCAAAAUGUAGAAGGUGAGUAGAUAAUUAGUUAAGCUUCAUAGACUUCCAUAACUUGUUUAAAUUGAUAAGAAACCAUACAUUUAUAACGUUAAACAUUUAUACACUUGGAUAUUUACAUACAGAAAAGACCGUCAGAGAUGUUCUCAAACGAGUUUCAUAGUAGAAAAUGUAGGGGGCAUGGUUUCUUUACUCUUUAGAAUCACUAUAGAAAUAAGAGAAGGGAUCCUUCAAUUGUAGAGGAAGAUUAAAGUUUCAAUACAUCUCUCUCUCUCUAUAUAUAUAUGGGGAGCGUUCAGCCUACCAAUAUCUUUGACAAAUAAUAUUGACCACUACUAGAAACUAAUCAAACCGUUUAAACAGAUUUCAAUAAAACCUUGUAAACCCUAUACCCAAUUACCUUUUUUUAUUCCUAAAUUUUCUCCACACACUAAUCCCAUCUCCAUAGCAACAAAGGAAACGGCCAUCGAUAGCCUAUCUUAUUAAAUUCAUUUCUCCAACCACCGCUGCUGUUUGAAGUUUUCACAAAAAGAUUUGUCUCUAGAUAUCCACAAACUAGAUCUACCACAGAAAACUUUAUAUUUCUAUUACUUUAUAAAGAUUUAG